CUAGCAUCUCCUUUUAUUCAACAACGGAGAUGCAAACAAGUGGAGAGAAAAAAGUUAUUUUAAGAUCUCUGAUUCUCCUCCACCUUCUGGUACCAUUGAAUGAGCAAAGGUCAGACAGCUCGCAGAAUAGUCCUUCUAGGUCAGUCUACCACUAGUUCUCUCUGGUAGUUAAAGGAUAAAUUCUUCUAACAGGGAAAAUGACUGCUCAGCAACUCAGCCUCCUUCUGGGCCUGACAAUGGAAAGGCAGCAAUGGUGAACGCUUGAGGACAUCUCCACUGGGUGGUAAAGCUGACAGCAGAAAAUCAAAGAAAUCUUAGCGCUAAGGCAACAGUGUAACAGAAAAUAUAUGUCAGCUCUCCAUGCCCAUGCAGAUUAUCACUCAGAUAAGACUGUGAUAGAGUUUAAGAAUUCUUUCCCAGUACAGUGUUGAUACUGCAAAGCUUUAAUCUGUUGUUCUUUAGCUUUUUGGAUCUCUUGCUUCAGAACACAAACACUAACUAGUUGACAAAAGCUG
ensembl:lncRNA